GUGGCCUAGUGGUUAGUGCGCCCGCCUCGGGUGCGGUUGGUCGUGGGUUCCAUCCCCAGACGAGUCA